AUUGAACGCUGGCGGCAGGCUUAACACAUGCAAGUCGAGCGAGCGGCGGACGGGUGAGUAAUGUCUGGGAAACUGCCUGAUGGAGGGGGAUAACUACUGGAAACGGUAGCUAAUACCGCAUACCAUCAGAUGUGCCCAGAUGGGAUUAGCUAGUGGGUUGGGGAAGGGCUCACCUAGGCGACGAUCCCUAGCUGGUCUGAGAGGAUGACCAGCCACUCUGGAACUGAUGCACGGUCCAGACUCCUACGGGGGGCAGCAGUGGGGAAUAUUGCACAAUUGGCGCAAGCCUGAUGCAGCCAUCCCGCUUGUGUGAAGAAGGCCUUCGGGUUGUAAAGCACUUUCAGCGAGGAGGCGUUACUCGAAGAAGAAGCACCGGCUAACUCCGUGCCAGCAGCCGCGGUAAUUC
rnacentral:rRNA from 1 species